CUGCUCCAUGAAUAAAUUAUAACAAUUCAGCCAGUCGUUUCCCUGCCACGAGGAAAGAGAGGAACAACAAGGUUACAAAAUGUAUUUGAACAAACUGAAAAAUUUGCACUAAGUGUGGAUCUCAAGCAGGUGGAAGAAGUUUUCUUAGGAAUGGAAGACGGGGAGGAGAGCCGCCACGCUACCGGGGAAGAACAGCAAGGCAAAAUUAACCCACCUGCGCAUCUUACUGAUCAAGUUGCUCCUAAAGUAGACACGUUGUUAACGGUCCUACAGCGGCGCCCAAUUAUGUGGCAAGGUUUGUUAGCCGUAAAGAACAACACUGCCGCGAGUCAAAUGCACUAUUUAACCGGCGACCAGGACCUUGCUCGAGAAGCGUUGGCUCCAAAUCCUGACGGGACAAUUCCCCCGUUAAAAAUUUCGCAGCGGAUGCGACUGUAGGAAGCACACUUGAUGGAAGUCGCAGCAAAAAUGCAGAUGCCACGCGAACAUUGCGUCCUUUUAGCGUUGCCAUGUGGUCGUGACCGGGAGGAUGUUCUCCGACAGAGCAACCACCUCAGACGUGAAUUUAUUACCUACUUUCAAUUAAAGGAAGCGGCUGGAAUUGCAAAUAUUCCUUGUCCACUAACCGGAGUAACAAAAUUCGUUAUUCACCUGAUCCCAGCUGAUUGCGGUUUCGUAUUUGAGUAUUUGAGAGCAAAGGCUCCCGACCUACUUCAAGUUCUGAAAGAAAUUCCGUAUCUAAUGGUUGUUAUUGCAAGUGUUUAAGAGUAUACAAUACUCAAAAUUUGAAUGAAUACUGAAUGAAUAUUUUGUUCGGAUUUUUGAAUAAAUGAAUAUUGAGUACCUAUUCAAUUCGUGUGAAUGAAUAAUGAAUGAAUAUUUUUUUCAUCAUUCAUUUUUAACUUAAUGCUUAAUAUAUAGGGAAAGGUGAGAAGUUCAUCUAAUGCUGUGAACUUUGAAUAACAUGAAUAAUAAAGGAAUGGUAAAUAU